CCUGCACGAAUGGCGUAAUGAUGGCCAGGCUGUCUCCACCCGAGACUCAGUGAAAUUGAACUCGCUGUGAAGAUGCAGUGUACCCGCGGCAAGACGGAAAGACCCCGUGAACCUUUACUAUAGCUUGACACUGAACAUUGAGCCUUGAUGUGUAGGAUAGGUGGGAGGCUUUGAAGUGUGGACGCCAGUCUGCAUGGAGCCGACCUUGAAAUACCACCCUUUAAUGUUUGAUGUUCUAACGUGGACCCGUAAUCCGGGUUGCGGACAGUGUCUGGUGGGUAGUUUGACUGGGGCGGUCUCCUCCUAAAGAGUAACGGAGGAGCACGAAGGUUGGCUAAUCCUGGUCGGACAUCAGGAGGUUAGUGCAAUGGCAUAAGCCAGCUUGACUGCGAGCGUGACGGCGCGAGCAGGUGCGAAAGCAGGUCAUAGUGAUCCGGUGGUUCUGAAUGGAAGGGCCAUCGCUCAACGGAUAAAAGGUACUCCGGGGAUAACAGGCUGAUACCGCCCAAGAGUUCAUAUCGACGGCGGUGUUUGGCACCUCGAUGUCGGCUCAUCACAUCCUGGGGCUGAAGUAGGUCCCAAGGGUAUGGCUGUUCGCCAUUUAAAGUGGUACGCGAGCUGGGUUUAGAACGUCGUGAGACAGUUCGGUCCCUAUCUGCCGUGGGCGCUGGAGAACUGAGGGGGGCUGCUCCUAGUACGAGAGGACCGGAGUGGACGCAUCACUGGUGUUCGGGUUGUCAUGCCAAUGGCACUGCCCGGUAGCUAAAUGCGGAAGAGAUAAGUGCUGAAAGCAUCUAAGCACGAAACUUGCCCCGA
rnacentral:rRNA from 1 species